rnacentral:lncRNA from 1 species
GUGACAGGCCUCUGUGUCUCCACAGUGGCCAGAGGGGAGCCUGCCUGACUGAUGAGCAAGGCUCCACUUUGUCACCAAGGCAGAGAAGGGGCCCGGGUAAAUGACCCCGGUGGCCCCCACCCCUGCCUGGCAUGAGAGUGGGUAGGGGCUUCGGACUUGAGGGGACUGGAGCGGGAAUAAGGAGCUGCACCAGGAACUCACAGAGGAUCAGGGAGAAUUCUGAGAACAUGCUACUGUGGUGCUGCCUAGAGAGGAAGGAUAAAUGAUGACAAGUACAUCUCUGAGUAACGUAUGGCCACUUGUUCAUGAAAACUGUUUUUCUGAAAGCUUGUGAAGGUCUUGAAAUACUCGCUAUCAGUUGAGGACAAACAUUUACACCCUCCUUCCACAGGGAGUUCAAGCAGGCUGGAUGGGUCCAUCUAUGGAUGAUCUUCCCCAGCCCCUUCCUCUUCCCAGCUCAUUCCUGGCUCUCUGUGUGAACAGGUCUCAUCAGUGGAAUGUGGUUGAUGAAGUGAGGUCUUCAAUUUUCUCAUCUACUGUGUGGUCAUGUUAUUUUCCUCAUCUGAGGCUUAAAAACUCACCUGCAUGCAGCACAUGACAGCUUAAAAUCUCUUGUGAACAAAACAGUAACAAAGACACCCACCAGCGUUGAGCAUCCCGUGUUGAUGACAGCGACCACCAUGGGUCAACGUCCUCUUCACAAUCCUGUGUCAGAGCAUCACUUGACUGAUUUCAUUAGCAACUUCCCAGGAGAAUCAGCUUACAAAAUACUUGUCCCAUUUUCCAUGCAGAUGUAACCCAUCUAUUUUACUGAAGAAAUGGGAAGAGCUGAAUGCUGAAUACACUGAAUGUCUGCAGGUUGUGCAAGUUUGUGACUUUAUCACUUUCUAAUUUCUGAUCUGUGUGGACCACUCUACAGAUUUUUCUCACUGGUGUGAUCAGCCUUCUGGAUGUCAAAUAUAAUAGACUUUCAACAAUAUAAAAGUCAACACAAGCUCCUCAUGGUUUCAGUGCUCAGUGAUGACUCUAAACUUACACAAUGUGUUUCUUUAUUAGUUUUGUUUUCUGGUAUCUCUACUCGGCAUCUUCACCACACCCAUUUUAUGUUUCUUAUACAGGUAAUUGAUAAUUUUAAAAUUUAUUGGUGCUUACUUUAAUUAAAUAAGCAGACAGUAUCUUAGAAUUUAAAAAAAAUGUGCAGUAAAAGGAAAUGCAAUAAAUUUUAAUGUAAGGAAACCAGCAGCUGAAAGCAAGGGAAAUCUCUUCUGCUGCAUAGGAGGGUAUGGAGACCUCAUAAUACGAUGAUUUUCUGCAAUUUAAUCAUUAUUGCCACACAAGUGAUAGCAUCCUCUCUCUUUAUAUCAGCACAUUCCCUAACGUACAAUAAAGGCUGAGCACAGAUACCGCCAACCAGACUGACCAGCACCUCUCACCGAGUGCCUGAGCUGAUAGUGAUAGAUAUCACAUUUGUCUAACAAAAUCAUUACACCCUGUAAGGAUACCCACCAGUCAUAAGGAGACAAUUUAAAAAAUUUAGUCAAAGCCCAAACCUGAUAGGUAGUCAUUUAUACUUAGAAGAAUUAACUCUUAUCUUCACAUGUAUUUUUCUUAAUCAUAGAGAAGCUACUAGAGUCACUGUCCAAGUUACUGAAUAUCUUAUUCCUAGAAUGAGACACUGCACAAUGUGUUCUGACACGAGGGGAUGUAGAUAUAGUUAAGGGACAGGAGAUGUGAUCACGGGAACAAGAGUCUGUGAUCCAGCAGUUCUUUCUCUCUCACAGUUGACCAGAAACAAGGCCCCAGCAGAACAAAGGAAACAUUGACUUAGGUCUCCACAGUCUGAUGUGAGAUAAACAGCAGGUAGUUUAUGCUUCCGUUUUAUAGUAGGAAAUUUAAUAAAGAAGGGCCAUUUUGGGGAUAAUACUAUUCUCUAUGAUGCUUAAAUGCCCCCAAACAGAGAGCACUACAGUGUCCCAUGGCCAGGAGCUACAAUACCUGGGUCUAGAAAGCAGUGGACAGAAAUAUCGGUUUCUCUUGCCACAUGUAUGAUGAAAAUUUGAAGAAUGUUUCUUUCCUUCUCCAUAAUCAUAGGCUGCGAUGGACUGGAGGUCCUGGUACAUAAGAAUAAAUGUGUCUCCAGUAGGAACAGAAUUAGUCCCAUAAAAUAAUUGUGCUGCCGUGGUUCUCAUACUGUUGGAACAGCUGACCAAGAAAGUGUUGUAACAGCUGCAGUGUUUAUUGAUUCCUAUCAUAUUUGGGGCUACAUUCGCAGCUACCAAGGGAAAGAGAGAGAAGUAAUUCUGGCCUAGAUAGAGUCUAUAGAUUUUUUUUUUCUUUCCUUCAAACUGAGGUUUAAAAAAAUCACAUCAACUAAAAUGCAGAUGAUGAUCAAAUGAUCAAGGACAAUAGCCAUUAAAUGUUUCAGGUGUGUUUUAACCCAAAGUCACACAACAUGUGAGAACAUGAGCUCUGGAGUCGGGAGAAUCUCUGAGGA